rnacentral:rRNA from 1 species
AGUGAACGCUGGCGGUAGGCCUAACACAUGCAAGUCGAACGGCAGCACAGUAAGAGCCUGCUCUUACGGGUGGCGAGUGGCGGACGGGUGAGGAAUACAUCGGAAUCUACUUUUUCGUGGGGGAUAACGUAGGGAAACUUACGCUAAUACCGCAUACGACCUACGGGUGAAAGCAGGGGAUCUUCGGACCUUGCGCGAUUGAAUGAGCCGAUGUCGGAUUAGCUAGUUGGCGGGGUAAAGUCCCACCAAGGCGACGAUCCGUAGCUGGUCUGAGAGGAUGAUCAGCCACACUGGAACUGAGACACGGUCCAGACUCCUACGGGAGGCAGCAGUGGGGAAUAUUGGACAAUGGGCGCAAGCCUGAUCCAGCCAUACCGCGUGGGUGAAGAAGGCCUUCGGGUUGUAAAGCCCUUUUGUUGGGAAAGAAAAGCAGCAGGUUAAUACCCCGCUGUUCUGACGGUACCCAAAGAAUAAGCACCGGCUAACUUCGUG